AAGACUAUAGACCUGCGGAGUACCUGCGGAGGGAUCAUUAUUGAAUUCAACUGCGAAGCUGUUGCUGGCUCCUCUGGGGCAUGUGCACGCUUCGAAAGUCAUUUCAACCACCUGUGAACCUUUUGUAGUCUUGGGUGACGCUACUUAUCAAAGGAAACUUUGGAUUUGAACGCUGCGGGCUUUGCAAAAAGUCGGCUUCGUUCUACAGCAGAACCCGGGUCUAUGCUUUAUAUACCCCAA
rnacentral:misc_RNA from 1 species